UACGGGGGGGAGCGAGCGUUAUUCGUCUUGACUGGGCGUAAAGGGGAUCUGUAGGUUGCAGUUGUAGGGGAUUUUCGUAAAGCCGAAAGGGAAGACAGUAGGAGUGUGAAAUCUGGCCGAGCUGCUUAGAGUAUAUUGGAUGAAAGCAGUACCCCCAGAGUAGAGGUGAAAUUCUUGGAUACUGGUGGGGACUCGCAGUUGGUGAAAACAGCUUUCUUCGGGUUUUACUGACGCUGAGGGGAUGAAAGCGUGGGGAGCAAACAGG
rnacentral:rRNA from 1 species